GCCCGAUUAACUCAGCUGGUUAGAGUGUGGUGCUAAUAUCUUGAGUUAACGCCAAAGUCGCAGGUUCGAUCCCUGUAUCGGGCA
rnacentral:tRNA from 1 species